CCCUGUGGCAACUUCGGUGGCUUUUGGUGCUGUUGGUUACCAGAUCCAUCUGGAUAAUAUGUAAUUCCAGAAGAAACAACAGAUUUACACUUCACCAGUUGCUCUCCUCCAGACACAGAUCUCCCAAACAAUCUUAGUCCCCAAGUGAGGCUGGAAAUCUGAUUGGAAUGGCUCCUCCAGAAAGCCUUAUUCAGCAAUGUCUCGAGGUGAUCACCUUUCUUCAUAUACAACACUUUUUUUCAGAUUGCAGUCCUAAGAGAGCCAGCAGUGGGUAUAUGACGUUGGAGGGGAG